UACGAAGGGUGCAAACGUUGCUCGGAAUCAUUGGGCGUAAAGCGCACGUAGGCGGCCCUGCAAGUCGGAUGUGAAAUCCCACGGCUCAACCGUGGACGUGCAUUCGAAACUGCUUGGCUCGAGUAUGGAAGAGGGUCGCGGAAUUCCCGGUGUAGAGGUGAAAUUCGUAGAUAUCGGGAGGAACACCAGUGGCGAAGGCGGCGCCUGGGCCAAUACUGACGCUGAGGUGCGAAAGCUAGGGGAGCGAACGGG
rnacentral:rRNA from 1 species